rnacentral:rRNA from 1 species
AUUGAACGCUGGCGGCAGGCCUAACACAUGCAAGUCGAACGAGUGGCGGACGGGUGAGUAAUGUCUGGGACACUGCCUGAUGGAGGGGGAUAAAUACUGGAACAGGUAGCUAAUACCACAUAGCAGCAGAUGUGCCCAGAUGGGAAGAGCUAGGUGGUGGGGUAACGGCUCACCAAGGCGACGAUCCCACGCUGGUUUGAGGGGAGGACCAGACACACUGGAACUGAGACACGGUCCCUACUCCGACGGGAGGCAGAAGUGGGGAAGAUUGCAAAAUGGGCGCAAGCCUGAUGCAGCCAUGCCGCAUGUAUGAAGAUGGCCUUCGGGUUGUAAAGUACUUUCAGCGGGGAGGCGUUACCCGCAGAAGAAGCACCGGCUAACUCCGUGCCAGCAGCCGCGGUAAUAC